rnacentral:misc_RNA from 1 species
GGAAGGAUCAUUAAAGUGGGCAGCCGGUUCUUCGCGCAUGCGGCGUCUACACGCUGUUGCGCACCCGGCUCCUCCGAAGAAGCGGGUGUGAACAGUGCCCAUAGCAAUCGCGCUCUGUACUUACGCGUUGCGGGCGAACCAGCCCUGCAAGCCUGUUCACAUGUCUGAAUCCGUGUCUUGUGUACCAUCUGUUUCCUCGGCGGGCUAGCCCGCCAACGAGGACCAUUGCAAACACUUUGUUGUAGCUGUAUUGUCUGAUAAAACAAUAAACAAUUAAAACUUUCAACAACGGAUCUCUUGGUUCUGGCAUCGAUGAAGAACGCAGCGAAAUGCGAUAAGUAGUGUGAAUUGCAGAAUUCAGUGAAUCAUCGAAUCUUUGAACGCACAUUGCGCCCUUUGGUAUUCCUUAGGGCAUGCCUGUUCGAGCGUCAUUUGAACCCUCAAGCUAUGCUUGGUGUUGGGCGCCUGUCCCGCCUCUGGCGCGGACUCGCCUUGAAGAUAUUGGCGGUUGGUGCAUCGGCCGGAAGCGCAGCAAAGACGCGCCUUUCCUGCUCUUGUGCCUCCUUCCAGGAAGCCAUAUUUAUAUCUUGACCUCGGAUCAGGUAGGGAUACCCGCUGAACUUAAGCAUAUCAAUAAGCGGAGGAAAAGAAACCAACAGGGAUUGCCUCAGUAACGGCGAGUGAAGCGGCAAUAGCUCAAAUUUGAAAUCUGGCUCCUUCGGGGUCCGAGUUGUAAUUUGUAGAGGGCGCUUUGGCGUCGGCAUCGGCCUAAGUUCCUUGGAACAGGGCGUCGCAGAGGGUGAGAACCCCGUACGUGGCCGCCUGCCUUCGCCGUGUAAAGCCCCUUCGACGAGUCGAGUUGUUUGGGAAUGCAGCUCUAAAUGGGAGGUAAAUUUCUUCUAAAGCUAAAUACUGGCCAGAGACCGAUAGCGCACAAGUAGAGUGAUCGAAAGAUGAAAAGCACUUUGGAAAGAGAGUCAAAAAGCACGUGAAAUUGUUGAAAGGGAAGCGCUUGCAGCCAGACUUGCCUGUAGUUGCUCAUCUAGGCUCUUGCCUGGUGCACUCUUCUGCGGGCAGGCCAGCAUCAGUUCCGGCGGUUGGAUAAAGGCCCAUGUCACGUACCUUCCCUUCGGGGUUGGCCUUAUAGGGUGGGCGAAAUGCAGCCAGCUGGAACUGAGGUCCGCGCAUCUGCUAGGAUGCUGGCGUAAUGGCUGUAAGCGGCCCGUCUUGAAACACGGACCAAGGAGUCUAACAUCUAUGCGAGUGUUUGGGUGUCAAGCCCGGGCGCGCAAUGAAAGUGAACGGAGGUGGGAACCCUCGGGUGCACCAUCGACCGAUCCUGAUGUCUUCGGAUGGAUUUGAGUAAGAGCAUAGCUGUUGGGACCCGAAAGAUGGUGAACUAUGCCUGAAUAGGGUGAAGCCAGAGGAAACUCUGGUGGAGGCUCGCAGCGGUUCUGACGUGCAAAUCGAUCGUCAAAUUUGGGCAUAGGGGCGAAAGACUAAUCGAACUAUCUAGUAGCUGGUUCCUGC